AACGAACGCUGGCGGCAUGCCUAACACAUGCAAGUCGAACGAGACCUUCGGGUCUAGUGGCGCACGGGUGCGUAACGCGUGGGAACCUGCCCUUAGGUUCGGAAUAACUCCCCGAAAGGGGUGCUAAUACCGGAUAAUGUCUUCGGACCAAAGAUUUAUCGCCUUUGGAUGGGCCCGCGUUGGAUUAGCUAGUUGGUAGGGUAAAAGCCUACCAAGGCGACGAUCCAUAGCUGGUCUGAGAGGAUGAUCAGCCACACUGGGACUGAGACACGGCCCAGACUCCUACGGGAGGCAGAAGUGGGGAAUAUUGGACAAUGGGCGAAAGCCUGAUCCAGCAAUGCCGCGUGAGUGAUGAAGGCCUUAGGGUUGUAAAGCUCUUUUACCCGGGAUGAUAAUGACAGUACCGGGAGAAUAAGCUCCGGCUAACUCCG
rnacentral:rRNA from 1 species